GGAAUGAACGCUGGCGGCGUGCUUUACACAUGCAAGUUGAGCGAGGCCACCCGCAAGGGUGAGUCGAGCGGCGAACGGGUGAGUAACGCGUGGAUAACCUGCCCUUUAGUGGGGAAUAACCCGGGGAAACUCGGGCUAAUACCGCAUAAGACCGAGAGGUGAAAGCGGGGUCGCAAGAUCUCGUGCUAAUGGGAGGGGUCCGCGUUCGAUUAGCUAGUUGGUAGGGUAAUGGCCUACCAAGGCGACGAUCGAUAGCCGGCCUGAGAGGUGAUCGGCCACACUGGAACUGAGACACGGUCCAGACUCCUACGGGAGGCAGCAGUGGGGAUUUGCGCAAUGGGCUAACGCCUGACGCAGCAACGCGCGUGGAGGAUGAAGGUCUUGGAUUAGUAACUCC
rnacentral:rRNA from 1 species